UACAUCAUUUGUUAGACCAAAUGAAAUUUUCAUUGUGUUGUGUUUAAUAAAUUUAUAUAUGUUUUUUUAUAGAAAUAAAGGACCACAAAUUGCUUAUGAACGCAGCUUUAGGUGGAAACUAGCUCAUUUCCGCUACUUGUGUCAGUCAAAUGCUCUACCAAGCCAUGUGAAGAUCAAUGUAUCCAGACAAACUUUGUUUGAAGAUUCCUUCCAACAGAUCAUGGCUUUAAAGCCUUAUGACUUAAGGAGAAGAUUGUAUGUCAUAUUCAGAGGAGAGGAAGGGUUGGAUUAUGGAGGUUUAGCCAGGUAACAGUACUUCUUGAAAUCUCAUUA